rnacentral:rRNA from 1 species
UUGCCUCUUGGUCUGGGACAACUGUUGGAAACGACAGCUAAUACCGGAUAUUAUGAGAUUCUCGCAUGGGAAACUUAUGAAAGCUAUAUGCGCCAAGAGAGAGCCUUGCGUUCCAUUAGCUAGUUGGUGGGGUAACGGCCCACCAAGGCGACGAUGGAUAGCCGGCCUGAGAGGGUGAACGGCCACAAGGGGACUGAGACACGGCCCUUACUCCUACGGGAGGCAGCAGUGGGGAAUAUUGGACAAUGGGCCACAAGCCUGAUCCAGCAAUUCUGUGUGCACGAUGAAGGUCUUCGGAUUGUAAAGUGCUUUCAGUUGGGAAGAAGAAAGUGACGGUACCAACAGAAGAAGCGACGGCUAAAUACGUGCCAGCAGCCGCGGUAAUACGUAUGUCGCAAGCGUUAUCCGGAUUUAUUGGGCGUAAAGCGCGUCUAGGCGGAAAAAUAAGUCUGAUGUUAAAAUGCGGGGCUCAACUCCGUAUUGCGUUGGAAACUGUUUUUCUAGAGUACUGGAGAGGUGGGCGGAACUACAAGUGUAGAGGUGAAAUUCGUAGAUAUUUGUAGGAAUGCCGAUGGAGAAGUCAGCUCACUGGACAGAUACUGACGCU